rnacentral:rRNA from 1 species
ACUCAAAUGAAUUGACGGGGACCCGCACAAGCAGCGGAGCGUGUGGUUUAAUUCGAUGCAACGCGAAGAACCUUACCUGGGCUUGACACCCUUUCGCAACCCUCUGAAAGGAGGGCCUCUUCGGACGGAAGGACAGAUGUUGCAUGGCUGUCGUCAGCUCGUGUCGUGAGAUGUUGGGUUAAGUCCCGCAACGAGCGCAACCCUCGUUUCUAGUUGCAAAUCUAGAGAGACUGCCGGAAACAAACCGGAGGAAGGUGGGGAUGACGUCAAGUCAGCAUGACUCUUACGUCCAGGGCUACACACACGCUACAAUGGUCGUUACAGCGAGAAGCCAACCCGCGAGGGUGAGCAGACCUCUAAAAGGCGGCCUCAGUUCAGAUUGCACUCUGCAACCCGAGUGCAUGAAGGUGGAGUUGCUAGUAACCGCGUGUCAGCAUAGCGCGGUGAAUAUGUUCCCGGGUCUUGUACACACCGCCCGU